rnacentral:rRNA from 1 species
UACGUAGGUGGCAAGCGUUAUCCGGAAUUAUUGGGCGUAAAGCGCGCGCAGGCGGUUUCUUAAGUCUGAUGUGAAAGCCCACGGCUCAACCGUGGAGGGUCAUUGGAAACUGGGGAACUUGAGUGCAGAAGAGGAAAGUGGAAUUCCACGUGUAGCGGUGAAAUGCGUAGAGAUGUGGAGGAACACCAGUGGCGAAGGCGACUUUCUGGUCUGUAACUGACGCUGAGGCGCGAAAGCGUGGGGAGCAAACAGG